rnacentral:rRNA from 1 species
GAUGAACGCUGGCGGCGUGCCUAAUACAUGCAAGUCGAGCGAACGGACGAGAAGCUUGCUUCUCUGAUGUUAGCGGCGGACGGGUGAGUAACACGUGGAUAACCUACCUAUAAGACUGGGAUAACUUCGGGAAACCGGAGCUAAUACCGGAUAAUAUUUUGAACCGCAUGGUUCAAAAGUGAAAGACGGUCUUGCUGUCACUUAUAGAUGGAUCCGCGCUGCAUUAGCUAGUUGGUAAGGUAACGGCUUACCAAGGCAACGAUGCAUAGCCGACCUGGGAGAGGGAUCGGCCACCCUAGAACUGAGACACGGUCCAGACUCCUACGGGAGGCAGCAGUAGGGAAUCUUCCGCAAUGGGCGAAAGCCUGACGGAGCAACGCCGCGUGAGUGAUGAAGGUCUUCGGAUCGUAAAACUCUGUUAUUAGGGAAGAACAUAUGUGUAAGUAACUGUGCACAUCUUGACGGUACCUAAUCAGAAAGCCACGGCUAACUACGUG